GGAGGGAUCGAGCUCCCUGCCGGCUCGUGUCCUCGAGGUGCGCCGUCGCCGUCGCGAGAUCACCGUGGACGCGCUUUGCCUUGGCGUGCGGCGAGCCUUCGGGGUCUUCGGCUCUCACUAUUCCGGCAUUAACUUUGCCGGGAUGAGUGAGGGGUACUGCGCCGGCUACACCGAAGCCGAGCUGGACGAGAUCGACGCCGGGGUGACCGCGCCGGCGGAGGCCCUCGCGAAGCU
rnacentral:lncRNA from 1 species